rnacentral:rRNA from 1 species
CGUUCUUGGGUCUGUAACCCCGGGAACUGGGACUAAUACCGGAUAGAUCAGACAUACUGGAAUGUUCUCUGGUCCAAAACUCCGGUGCCCAAGGAUGGGUCUGCGGCCUAUCAGGUAGUAGUGGGUGUAACGUACCUACUAGCCAGCGACGGGUAAGGGUUGUGAGAGCAAGAUCCCUGAGAUGGAUUCUGAGACAUGAAUCCAGGCCCUACGGGGUGCAGCAGGCGCGAAAACUUUACACUGCGGGAAACCGCGAUAAGGGGACCCCGAGUGCCAGCACCUAGUGCUGGCUGUCCAGUUGUCCAAAUAACAACUGUUAGCAAGGGCCGGGCAAGACCGGUGCCAGCCGCCGCGGUAACACCGGCGGCCCGAGUGGUAGCCGCUAUUAUUGGGUUUAAAGGGUCCGUAGCCGGCUUAUUAAGUCUUUUGGGAAAUCUGGCGGCUCAAUCGUCAGGCGUCCAAAAGAUACUGGUAGGCUUGGGACCGGGAGAGGUGGGAGGUACUCCAGGGGUAGGGGUGAAAUCUCGUAAUCCUUGGGGGACCACCGAUGGCGAAGGCAUCCCACCUGAACGGGUCCGACGGUGAGGGACGAAAGCUGGGGGCACGAACCGGAUUAGAUACCCGGGUAGUCCCAGCUGUAAACGAUGCUCGCUAGGUGUCAGGUGCGGUGCGACCGCAUCUGGUGCCGCAGUGAAAACUUGAAGCGAGUCACCUGGGAAGUACGGUCGCAAGGCUGAAACUUAAAGGAAUUGGCGGGGGAGCAC